GAGUUCUGGAGGUUUUUAUAAAAUGUCAAUUUAAAACAAAAACAAAAACCAACAACACAGGAGCAGUAGCAGCCACCUCAACAGCCAGGCUUGAGACCUGUUGAUUGGAAAUAAAAAUGCGGCUGCCUGGGGUUUAGGACAGGUUUUCUUUGACAAAAAGCAGUCCAGAGCAUCCUUCUGUGGGGGAGGGGGGAGACAAAAAAAAAAAAAAGGAAGAUUUGUAAUGUUGUUUGUUUGGGUUUUUUUCUUCCCUCUCUCCUGCAAUUUAUUUUGAAUGGUGAGGUUUUUAUUAUUAUAUAUGUUUUGUUCUUGUAGUUCACAAAGUUUGUCACCUCCCCAAUCUGGGUGACCAUUUUCAAAACUGAGGUUUGGGGUAGGAAGGAAUUGGUGUUGUGGGGGAGGGGGCUCCUAUCCAAGCACAGGAGGUCUGAGGCUGCUGUGGGAUAGUUUGGCAGAACUGCAUCAUCACGUCUCCUCUCUUUCUCCUGGCAGUGUAAAUGAAGCAAGUCGUGGACAGGUAGGACCGUAGAGGUGCUGCUUUUUAUUUCUUUUCAGAGUUGAGAGAACGAGGUUGGGGGGGAGGGGGUUGAUGCAAGGAAGGGGGGGAAUCUCUAAUAUAUCUGGAAAACGAUGCCGCGCUGUCGCAGAUUUGGAAUUGUGUGCCUGGAAGGACGAGAUGUGAAAAAUAAAUGGCAUGGAUACACAUUUUCAGGCAGUUGUUGAGUUUUCUUUUCAUGUUUUUCAAAGCGUUUUAAAAUCUGUUUUGAUCCUUUUCCAGGUAUUGUUUUGAUUGAGGUCCUUUGUUCAUGCUGUGUAUGAAUCUCCCACCACUAUCUUACAGAGUUGAGCAACAGUAAUAAUUGAUACUACAAUAUAUUUAAAAAUGCUUCUAAUAUAUAUUUUUUCACCACGAAGGUGCUUUGAUUAGACUCUGCAGCACAUGGGAAAUGCUGUCAAAAUAAUCUGAGAUGCUACCUUGUAUCUAUAGGUGAAAACGUUCAUCACUCAACUGAGCCAGACCUAUGAUAGUGUUUUGUGCAGUAAGAUUCAGUAGAAUCACAUAUACAAGGAUGAACAACUGCCAAGACAUCCUUCAGCUAUAUCUGCAGGGAGGAAAAGUAAUUAGAAACUAAGGAGAUGUAUAGUAGAGAACUUGGAAAAAACAUUGCUUUGUAAAAGUUAUUGAUGUGAUAUAAAAUGGCUCUGACUGAAGUAAUAUCAAACUGGAAUUAGCUGGCAAUGACAUACUGUCUUUUUAAUGAACGCUGGAAUAUAUCAGGAGUUUUUCGAUUCCUUGGCAUAUUAAAAUGUUUCAAAAUAGGGGGUACAGUAUUUCCAUUUUUUUUAAAGCUUUUUGACACCUGACCUUACAGGUCAGUUGUCUUUUGAGCUAGUAUAGUUUAUGGAGUCUAGUCUUUGUGGGUGCUUUUACAUGAGCUCUGGGGAUGAGGGGGAGGCACUUUAAUUAGAGCACAUCCAAGAGCCGCUCUAAUUAAAGCGCCACUAUGUCUCCUGUAUCAGCAUCCCUGCACUUAAAAAUGGUGGCAGGGGCACUUGAACUAAAAUUAACUUUAGUUCAAGCACGCCUACCUCCAUUUGUAAGUGCUGGGAUACUGAUACACAACAUGCAAGAGGUUGCUGGAGCAUGGCAAUUGCCAAGCUCCAGCAGACUUGAUUGGAGCAGCCUCCACCACGCUCGUGUAUAGGCGCCCUAUGUGUAUGUAUACAGUGGGUUUUCCAUUUGAGUAAAUGAGCUUUAGAGGUAAAACAUAAUAAAGGGCCAGCUCACCUUUUUAGUAAGAAAAAAUAUUUUUGCUUUAGCAAAAAAAGAAGACUGAGGAGGGAUUGGAUAACUGUCUAGUUUUGAGCCCCAGACUUCAAAAAGGAUGUGAACAGGUUGGAAAAAGUCAAGCACAGAGCAGCAAAAAUGACUUGGGAAGCAAGACUUAUGAAGAAAGGCAGAAAGGGCGAGGGGUAUUUAGUUUGGAGAAGUCUUCAAAUACCUGAAAGGCAGUUAGAGAAAGUAGGGAGAUGACCUUUGCUCCAUGGCCAUAGGGGACAGGACCAGGAGCAGUGGCCUUAAACUCAACCUCAAGUAGGAGAAAUUGAGGUUGGCAGUUAGGAAGAACUUUCUGAUUAUGAGGGAGGUCAAGCAUUGGAAGAGGCUACCGAAAAUAAAUUUUGGAAUUUUCAUCCAUGGAAGCUUUCAAAAGCGGAUGGGCAAACACUUGGCUGAGAUGGUCAUGUCAGGGGUUAAGAGUUGAUCUAGCUGGGACCUUGAGCUGGAGGAUGACUUCAUGAGGUCACUUCCCCUACUUUCCUAUGAUCUUAUUUUUUUAAAUAAUCGUUAGCAUAUUAGACUAGGCUACAGAACUGCAUCCUGAUAGAAUGGAUGGAAUGAGUACAAAGAAGGUGCUUGUUCCACUGCCAGAACAAUAUACUGAAAUAUAAUAACUAAUUGAAUGGAAGCUUUAAUAAAAUCAAAUAUAAUUUGAGCAAAAUUGUACAUAGUGAAGGGAAGGCCAGCAGACUGUUUGUGACCUAUUCACUGAUGAUUUUAUGUCCUGAAGCAUGAACUUGGGAUAGCUCCUUUUUAUGAUAUACGUAAUUACAGCUAUCAUUGUAUCGAAUGUGUAUGUGCCUACAAAUAUACAAAAACAUAACAUAUAAAUAAAACAUUUCCAUCAAAUCAACUGGGAUUUGCCUGAGUACAGAAUUUAGAUUCACCAAGUGACCUCUUGUUCUAGUGUUGUAUUGAUGGGUAAAAGCAAGGGAAUGGCUAAUUUUCACUAUACUUCUCUAUUGUGAGGUGUACAGGUCAGUCUGAUCUCUUCAAACUCUUCUCUUUUCCAGGCUAAUUCUAGUGUUUGUAAAGUUCACACAGUAAUGGUUGUUACUGUUGCACUGUAAACAGAGAUUGGUCUGAUAUAAGGUGGCAUUUUUAGUGCUUUACACAGGGAAGGGUAACUGAUACAACUAGAAAACCUCACAGGUCCAGGGGGUAGAUACAACAGUGCUAAUUGUUUGUAUUCCUCAAUUUGGGUUACAGAUGAUGUACUACAUUAUAGAAUUGCCUAGUAAAGUAGUUGAGGUAGCUUGAAUAGAAAUAAUAUACAAUCCUUUUCCAUGUGUUGGUCUCAUUCACUUAACUUUGCAAGUAUUACCUUCAGUGGAUCAACUCACAGGCCUGAAGCUAUGCAGGAUGUAGGUUGGAUGUGCAGUUACACAAUAGUAUAUCUGCACAAAAAAACCCUUCUUUGCUAUAAAGUGAUUACAAGGCCCAUGAAGUUUUUAAUGGCAAAGGAAAAAAAAAGGGAAAUCAGAAACAGCAAAAUAUUUCUCAAUCCACUUUGCAAAAGUUGAAAGGGGUGCUAUUGAGUAGUUUAUGCCAAAAACUGAUGCAUCUUCUAAGAGGGAUAAAAUAAUGAGGAAAAGUUGAUUAGAUGUUGGUAAUAGAGAUAGCUAUAAUCUUUCAGUCUUUUGCUGAAAAAUGUAAAUCAGUGAAGUAAGCCAGUGGCAGGAGAAUAUGUUUUAACAAAAGACCAUUCAUCUUGAAGGGAUUAAAAAUUAAUACAAUAAACUGUUCAUUUUUCAGUAAUUUUUAAGAAGUGUAAAUGGGUCAUUACUAUAACUAAAUCACUUUUUAUUGCAAUACAAUAGUAAAUUGUAAAGGGCAAACUCUGUUUGCCUUAAUCAUGCAAAGUAAAUUGGAGUAUUUGUAUGGGUAAGGCAAGCUAGAUUUUACUCUGCAAUUUUGCAGGAGAAUCAUUAUGGUGGUUUAACAGCAGUGCUGGAGAACAGGUAUCAGAAAUUUUUUUUAGCAGAAAAAAAGAAUAGAAUUCAAGUCCAAAGGAGAAAAUACUUAGAAGUGUCCCAGCAUCAGGUGAAAAAUGAAGAAUUGCUUUCUCAAGCUUGUGAUCUUUGAAGAUCUCUCUCUUCCUCCACCCCUGCACAUUUCCUCACUGAGAAUAAGAGUCAAUCUGGCUGUCUUGAUUUUUCUGUCAAAUCCAUGAACCCACUGGACAGCCCAGAAUGUGUCCUGUACACUGGGUAUCUCUGUAGGAUAGCAAAAAAAAAAUCUUCCUUUCUGUUCUGCAGCAACUAGUGUAUGCAUAAUAAGAGUCUGAUUGUGCCCCAUUGGCGGUACUAUACAGCUGGACUAUAGACCUCAAGGGUGUUUAUACCCAGUGGCUGCGUCCAAAUGACCGAAGCAUGCAGUCUGUGGUGCCAUUAAAAUGUACAUCGCACUGCAAAUUUACAAUGUAGUGGCAAAAUUUGCUACCAGGAUUUCCUGGUAGCAAACCCCCCCCCUCCCCCCCCCCCAAAAAAAACCACCAGAAAAAAAAGCGACACAACACGCACAAAAAAAAGUGUGCACUAGCACAAAUGGAGUCCUGGCCCUCCAGAGCAAUACUCGGGCUGCCAGCCAGGUCUUCAUGCUGCCCAAGUUGUGCCCCUGCUGCUCCAGCAUGCCACCAAGGCACCAGCUAAUUUUGCUAAGGCCAGCACCUGGCCUCAGCCUCCUGCUCUUCCUGGCUGAAGAGCUGGGAGGAGCUGGGCAAGGGCGAUUUGCCCAAGGCAGGACAGUUUGUCCGGCAGCAAAGCACAAUUCCCGGAGCGUGCACAGUGGCACAAAUUUGUGCUGCUACUGUUUGUGAUGCUGAAAGUGCACACCCCUGUUCACCUGGACAUGGCCAGGUAGUGCAAUUCUGGUUCAGUUCCCCCUCUAAAGUAGUGGAGGUAGGACAUAGAUAUUUUUGAUUGAACAUAAUGGGGAGUGACCCAGGGGUUCUUGGCAAACAGAUACUGUGACCUCAGUUACACAGGUCCAGCAUUCUUCAGCAUGAACUCAGCAUGAGCAUUCUUAAUUUCAAAGCCCUCAAAUGCUUUUUUUUUUUUUUUUUUUUUUUAAUUUGAUGAAAAGCUCUUUAAAAAUCCACAGAACUCUCAGGGACAGGGGAAGAACUUUAAAUAUAGAGUAGAUCUUAUCUGGAAAAAUUGCAUGUACCCAAACUUGUACUUAGUCUUGUCUUUGCAGGGUUUAAGCAGUGAGGCAAGAGAAGAAUUAUUUAGGCUUGUCUUAGGGGCUUCUAAGUAUAAUGAGACAAAAGUUUAAGGUGAAUAAUAGAACUGCUUUGCUUAUGGACUGUGAACUGGUCUUCUAAAGUGAAACAGGGCUGGAUAGAAAAAUAGAAGAUAAUGCAAGAACAGUUUUAAACUUGCACUGACUGAGAUAUCCUAAGUAACUGAUUAGGUCUUUUGUAAAGCUAAAUUAAGAUCAAAUAUUGCACCCUUUUUAUGGUACUGUUUUCAGCUGAUUGCAUGAGGAAUAUGGCAUUUUUUUAUUGUUGUCCUUAAGCAGAUGACAAUGGUUCGGGUUUUUUUUUAAGCACGUCCUAUAUUAAUAUUAAUGAAAAAUUAUGAUUUCUGUUUCUCAAAAAUAAUCCCUUGAUUAAUGCAUGGAUUUUUUUGUUCUGCAAAAAAUAACCCCUUAGGUAUUGGCAUUUAUUUAUUUACAUACUUUGUGUUGUAGUGGUGCUUAAAAGUUCUAACCAGGGGCUAAGGUGCUGUCUUGCCAAGCACUAACAAAUCCCUAACAAAAAGACAAAUCCUGCCUUAAAUAGCUUACAGUCUAAGUAUUUGUCCUUAUGAGCAGGUUCACUUAAGUAUGAAACAAAUAGGUACAUAACUCGCCCUUUGUCCAGAUACUAAUCCCCCUCAAUCAUGAGUUAGUGGUGCAGCAUCCCAAAACAAAUGGCACAGUUGGUCAACCUCAAGUGUGCCUUUGUCAGUUUGAGUUGCUUCCCACCUUGUAAAUGCCACAAAGGUAGCACUUGACCUGUAAGAGAGAGAAAGAGGUCUAGUACUCCAAAAACUGACUCUGAACAAAGAACAUGAACUGUAACAUGAUAAAUAGCUCUAGAACCAAACAUGUUCUGUGCUGGGAUCCUGCCUGAAAUACAAUUAUUUAGAGGUAUCUUAGACACACUAACCCACAUUUCUGUUCUAUUGUUUUAAAAAUAACUACAUAUUUUUCCCAUUUUUGAGUUGUAUACAAAUACAUGUAUAUAUUUAUAAAAGCAGCCUAUGUAUUGGUCAGCUGUACUCCAAAUGAGCAAAUUGUUCAUAACAAAUAUUCUUUGGGAUUGAGGGAAUUCUCCCAGAAAAAAAUGUUUACUCUUCUUAAUGGAAAUUGUAGCAAAGCAGUGCAGAGGUUAUGCAACAAAGGGAUUUUGGUUUGUUUUGUUUUAAACUAAUACGGUUUUACUAGCAAUUGGAAUUAAUCCCAGUAGGUAGGAAGACAUUACAAAAAGUUUCAGAGGAUAUUGCCCAUUUGUACCCUUGAGCAGGUUUUUGAAGUUCUUGUCUACUCAGAUGUCACCUCCAGUGAAAUAGGUGUGGUUUCUAUUUUGAGUACCUAAGAAAUGCCACCUAUCUGAUAGAUUGCUUUGGCUGAAAAACUCCAGAGAAGGGUAAAGUUAGUAGAGUAUGGAAGGCCAGCACACCUUGUAAACCUGUACUGGGAUUUGGACAGCAGGGCUGUUUUAGAGAAGGCAAGAUCUGCUGGUCCUAUCUAGUGUCGACAUGGGAUAGCAAGAAAAGUCCAUUGUGCCCCCAUUUGCACAGACUCAGGUGAUGUUAGAGUCUGGCACCAGCAUGCUCCAGCUGAUAUGCCCCAAGCACACCCUAUUCACAUGCUCCAAAACCAGACAAACUCUGGGGCAUCCCUCUGCAGCUGCUGUCCAGACUUUACUCUCUGGCAUGCUUGAGAGUAGCCCUCUAGGGAUAAUCCCAGAGCAAUUUGGAGCAAGUCUUCAGGAGUGAGUGGGUGGAUUGUGCUGGAUGAGAGUUGUGUGUGCUGCAGCUGCAGUGUAGAUAUUCUGUUUCCCGGCAUACCAUACAAGCAUCAUGAAAAGUUGCAGCUGUUACUUAAACUCAGAAGCUGGAGGGGGUGAAGUUGUGCUGCAUCCUUUGUCCUGAUGCAGAUUUUGUGGGAUGGAUUUCAUAUCCCUGUACAAUGGCCAUUGUUCAAGUUUUCGAGGCUUGGAAAACAUCUGUUAACUUUGUGCCUUGGAUCAGGACCCAAGAGCAAGGGCUGACAUUCACUGUGAAGCCUUAAAUUGUGCACAGAGGUUGGGAAGCCAUCUAUACUGGAGAAACCUUUAGCCCCAGGGCUUUGUGUUUUAUUUUUAAGCAGAGCUUCUUAAUGCUGUCCCCCCAUUUGAUGCAAAUACCAUAUCAUUGACUUACCUGUUUUUCUAAGAUAGGUUUCUUUCACGGUCCAAAGCAUUAAAACCUUGAUUAUCUAUCAGGAGACACCCUUGUCAAAAGGUCUGGGCAAUUCUGUGACCUAUGAAGGAUAUCACAUAUAGCAUUUGAAAGGUCAUUUACCUCUUACAGGAACUUGGCAUGGGCCCAGCAGAUCAGCAAAGUAAUUAUACUUGCCAUGAGUGUCUGCCUCAUCUAACUUGCUAGAACUGGAUACAUUCAAGUAGGAGAACCUGAGUUAAAACCAUUUGUGAAGAUACAGUAUGUGAAAGGAAAUUAUUUAUGCAGUGUUAAAUGUAUACAAAACCUUGUACUUAUCUUAUUAUUCUUCCUUUUAAUUUGGCAAAGUUCUUCAUGCCAGAUAAUUGUUCAAAGUAGUAACUGGUUGAUCAAGUGUAUGGAUGUGAUCCAAGGUCUAUACGUAAGAAGUCUUUUUCAUUGGCAGUGAAUCUCGCCCCAUACAAGAAGGUAAACCAACACCAAGUAAAGCAUUAGCAUUCUGAACCUCUGUCAGCUCUUGAGGGUUGAUUCUGCUUUAUUGGAAUUUUACUACUGACUUCAGUGGGAGCAGGCUCCAGCCUUGGGAACUUAACUGCUUGGGAAGAGAUCUACAUUCUGGCUGCAGCCUGACAGUAAUAGAAUGAGUUGAUAAUUAAUUGAAUAAUUAUAGAAAAUAUUAAUUAAGUAAAACCUUUCUAAUUUGCUCUUCAUUAAUCAAUGCAUAUUUUAAUCCUUAUUAAAAAAAAUGGCAGUCUUCCUAAAUCUGAGCCAGGCUAUAAAAGUGUGAAUAUUAAUUUGUAGUAAGGUCUUCCAGAGCAUGGAAUAGGCACCUACUGAGACUUCCUUAAAUUGAAAAUAACAAAUUAAACAAAAAAAUACAGGCAGUCCUUGGACUUAGAACACAAUUGGUUCCUGAAAACCAUACCUUAUGUCAAAAUGUUGUAACUCGGAACCAAUUUUUCCCAUAGGAAACAAUGUUAUAAAUGGGGAAUUGGUUCCUGAACCAAGGCCUGAUACCCUAUUUUCACCAAAAAUAACCCAGAAUUUUGUACCCAAUCAAUUAUAAAUGAGUAAUAUAGCUAUAUGAAUGUAUUUAUAUUGUAAAUCACAAUCAUAUUGCUUUGGAAGGACUUCUUUGAGGUGACUUUGCUGGACUUUUUGAAGGGACUCUUGGUUGGACAUCUUGAAGGGUGCUGUGCGGGCCGGGUUCCGAUCCCGCCCUCGUCGCCAUGUGCGGCGGUGAUUCCGAUCCCAUUCUGGCCACCAUGGGCGAGCCGGGAGCGAACCGGGGUCGUACCAGACCCGUCUUCGGUGCACACGGGCUGUGGCCAGCAGCCCGGGCACGCGGGGCUGGAGAGAACUGCUGGGCGGUUUAGCGCAUGCGAGUUAGAAUUAGUUACGGAGGCGUAAUGGUUGAUUGAAAAGAUUGUUUACUUACACCCAAAGAUGGUAUUGGUGUAGGCUGGACAGGUUUCCAGGCACAGCUCCUGCUUGAACCCUCUUUGGAGGACUCUGACAAAUCGAUUGCCCCCACGGAGUUUGCUAGGCUCCGCGGGUCCAAUAAGUUUUCCCCGGAGUUUGCUAGGCUCCGCAAGUCCGAAGUUACAGGAAAGGGAUACGUCUAGGAUUGCGCUCGGCGACGGGGAGAGGCGAAAAGUGAAAGCUCCGUAGAUUCGGUUCUAUUGCCUCUAUUGCCUGCUUAGGGGAGGCGCGUCGGGUCCGCAAGGGUCCGCAGCGCUUGGAGAUCUUCACACAGAAUCUCUCUUGUCCUCCUUCCUCCGACUUGGGCGGAAACGACCCAAGCCUUUUGUACGGCUAGCAAGCCAAUCACUAGCCACCACGUGUGCCUAUAUUAGGAAUGGGCCAAUAACAUGGCGCGGAUCCUAAUACAAAUGGCGGGAACUUCUUUACAACGUGUAUCACUACGAUGCAAGAAAGAGACGCACACUGCAAAGAAGCUGUAAUCUGGCGGGAAAUCUCCCAUUGCACCAGAGUUCUCUCUAGCAACAGAGAACUCUACCGUGCAAAGAAAGCGACAAAUUGGCGGGAAAUAAUUUAGCGAUGCCGAAGCGCGCACACAAACAAAAAAUCACAACUUUGGGUUGUGACAGGUGCUUGGCUGGAGUCUUCUCAGGAAUUUUGGCUGCAGGUUUUUCUGGAGUCUCGUCUGCUUUCUUAAAGAAAGUGUCCAAGGAAGUUUGGACAGAUGUUCUCCAGGGAGUUGGGUGAUGGAGCGAACUUGUUCGCUGGUGUGGUGAGGCGUCGGGUCAAGCAUUGUAAAGUCGAAACUGACAUCAGAAAGUUGAAACAGGGUGUUAAUUGAUAAACAUAGUAAGUGCGAAGAAGUAAGUAAGUCAAGGACUGCCUGUAGUGGAAUACUGUAACAAGGUCUCAUGUAAAAAACCUGCCAUUUUAAUUCAAAAUAGGCUACAGUAUAAUUAAUAGUACCCUUCUUUUAAACUUACUGACAGUGCAUAAGCUACAGUUGUAAAAACUAAUCUACAUUCAUUACCCCUUUUUUUUUUUUAAGUCUGUUGGUUCAAUUACUUGUUAAGUCAUAAAAUUCAGUUCAUAUCAGGUCUGUCAGUCACCAUUGCAAAUUAAGAACACAAAAACUGCCAUGCUAAGUCAAACCAGCAAUCCGUUUAGUCCAGUAUUGUAUCUCUAGCAGUGAUUAGUGCCAAAUGCUUCAGAGAGUAUCCAGGGAAGUGCCCUGUAAUGGACUAUGAUAGACUCCUAGAAGCAGAUUAAUAUAGUAAACUCUAUAGAGUAGUUCUUCAGAAGCAGUUGGCUUAUGUACUGCUGUGGCUGAGCAGGGUCAUAGAAUUGUAACAUGCUAAUGGUUUCUUGUGGGUUAUUAGAUACUAGGUUUUCUGCUGUUUUAGCAGAAUGCACGCGCUUAUUUUUCACCUAUACAUUAUUUCAGACGUGAGAACAAGUAUAAAGAAAGGGGGACGAAAAGGAAGUAAUCGCUAAUCAGGACUGAGUGCUUUAUUUCCUUUGAAUGUUAUUUAGACUUACUCAAAAUUCAGUUCUAGUAUUAAAAUGAGGAGCUCUCAGUGUUUUGAACAUGUUUCAUUAUGGUUAUUCUAAUGGAGGCAGGUUUGAACAGAGAGGGAUCUCAGCCUCCACAGUCUUCUCAGCUUUAAUGACGCUGGCAUGGCUGUUUGAGUGCUUGUGGCACUCGGGUCAGGUUCCGGAGGACUGGAAAAGGGCCAAUGUGGUCCCUAUUUUCAAGAAGGGGAGGAAGGAGGAUCUGAGUAAUUAUAGACCAGUUAGUCUCACCUUCAUCCUUUGAAAAGUCUUUGAAAAUGUUAUUAAGGAUCAUAUUUGUGGGAGUCCAGUGGGGAAAAAUAAUGCAGCAGGGCAACCAGCAUGGAUUCGUAAAAGGUAGAUCAUGCCUGACUAAUCUGGUUUUGUUUUAUGACCAGGUCACAAAAUGCUUAGACGCAACAGUAGAGAUGGAUGUCGUUUUCCUGGAUUUUAGGAAGGCCUUUGAUACGGUAUCUCAUCCCAUUCUCAUAAAUAAAUUAAGAGGCUGUGGCUUAGAUGUUUACAUGGUCUGGCGGGUGGCAUAGUGGCUUGGGGGUCGCACCCAGAGAGUGGUAGUGGAUGGGUCGGCCUUGACCUGGAAGGAGGUGGGCGUGAAGUGUGCUCUGUCCAAGUUUGCAGAUGAUACUAAAUUGUGGAGUGAAAUGCACACUCUGGAGCGUAGGGAGCGAUUGUAGGCAGACCUGGACAGGUUGGAAAAGUGGGCAGUACACAAUAGGAUGCAGUUCAACAAGGACAAAUGCAGAGUGCUGCACCUAAAAUAUAAAAACAUAAAAAUAUCCAGCACAUCUACUGGCUAGGAGAUGACCUUCUCAGCAGCACAGAAGUGGAAAGAGAUCUCGCAGUCAUAGUGGACUCCAAGAUGAACGUGAGUCGUCAGUGUGACAAAAUCAUCAGCAAAGCUAACCGUACUUUAUCAUGCAUUAACAAAUGCAUGACAAAUAGAUCCAAGGAGGUGAUAUGUCCCCUCUAUGUGGGGGGACGUCCAGAGGAGAGCCAAUCGUUUGGUUAGGGGCUUACAGGACAAGCCCUAUGAGGAGAGACUAAGGGACCUGGACCUCUUCAGCUUCCAAGAGAAGGCUGAGAGGUGAUCUUGUGGCCUCCUACAAAUUCAUUAGGGGGGGUACAGCGAGGAAGCGGAGAUGCUCUGUUCACCAAGGUGCCUCUUGGGGUAACAAGGAACAAUGGUUACAAAUUGACAGAGAGUAGAUUUAGGCUAGACAUCAGGAAAAACUUUUUCAUGGUGAGGGUGGCCAAAAUUUGGAAUGGGCUUCCAAGGGAGGUGGUGCUCUCCCCUACCUUGGGGGUCGUUAAGAGAAGGCUGGACAGGCAUCUGGCUGGGGUCAUCUGACCCCAGCACUCUUUCCUGCCUAGGCAGGGGGUUGAACUCAGUGAUCUGUUGGGGUCCCUUCCAACCCUAGCAUCUAUAAAUCUGUGACUCUGGUACUCUAAGGAUGUGGAUGGCUGCAUGGAACCAGAGGAAAAUUCUGUUAUUUAGUAGCAGAUAUAUUUAGUUUAAUAGGCAUUUUUUUUAAGGAUGUAAACAUAUGUGGAAAUCCGCAAACUUUCCAUAUACGCUUCCUGAAAAUCUAGUCCUAAAUGCUUUUAAACUACUUUUAUCUGAAAGUAAUAACUUUGCUCUCUAAGCAUCCUAUUCUGAAUACCUGGAUUACUUAGAACACAAGGUUAGCUAAACUCUAUGGGCACAUCCAGACGUGUGUGGAUGUUUGGUUCCCUGGGGACAAGUAGCAGCGGCGCACCUUGCCUUGCUGCUGCUUGUCCCCAGGGAUUGCCCAUGCCAUGCACUCUGGUGUGCUGCAGGUUGCCCUGGGUGGGAUUGGGGAUGCUGGGGCCAGCACUGGGGAUCUCUCAGGGAUGUAGCCACGAUGAUCCAGUGCAUGGAGCCUGGCUGACAGCAGUGUGUAGCUGCAGGAGGCCCAGCUGUGCUUUUCAGCAGCACGUACUGGCCAAGUGUGUGUUGCUCCAUUUUGGGGGUUUUUCUGCGUUUUUUUUUUUUUCUUGACCCCUGGAUAUCCAUGGGUCAAAAAAAGCCCAUGGAAAAAAAACCCAGCGCAGCACACACUUGGGCAGUGCGCCUUUGCAGUGUGGAGAACACUGAACUGUGCAGUAUGUGGUAGAACUUCACAAAUCAAGGUGCUGUCUCCUUUGCAUUCCAUCUCCAUGGGUAUAAUCACUUCACAUGUCGAGGAGUACAGGUUUGUCUUUGAGGAAAAUUCUCUCUCCUUCUCACCGUCUGUAACCCAGCAGCAUCUUACACCUCCUUCCCAAAGAUGCCUGCGUUUAAUUUAAGCUGUAUGCAGAUAGUUGGAAGUUAAAGCAAUCCAUGUAUGUAAAAUAUUGAAUUGUAUCACUGGUAACAACUGUGAAUGACAUGAUAAUUUGCCCAGUAGUUCUCAUUGAAAGAGCAUUGUUGUAUGCUUAUGCUAUUAAUUUUAUCUUAAAAAUACCAUAAAUGUUUGUGUUAUGUGUUGACUAUGCUAGGGAGUAUGUUUAUGGGAUACACAUCUGAGGACAGAAGUUAAAGUAAGGUUUUGUUGCAUCUCCCUUUUGGCUCAUGGAGAUUUUUAUAGUGUGUGUGUUACUCUCCCUCUCCUUGGGGGGGGGGGGGGUGGAAUCUAGGGGCAGCUUUGCUGAGAAUAUUAAUGAGAGGAUCUGUGUUUUCUUCCUUAAAACCAUACUAAUUCAAAUUAUUUAGUGUCAGAGUCACUGGCCCCUGCAGAAGCAUCAGGAAGAAUUUAAGCCUCUAGGAAAUAUUUGAAUUGACCUAAAGCCCCUCAAAACCUUCUUCCCUCUCUCAUUUGGCUGCACCUUUAUGUAGGGGAAGAAGGACGUGUCUGUAACUCACCUUAGCUAAUAAGGUAAAUCCUAGUGAAGACAACCUGGUUUGUAAUUGUCUUGAGUUGCAAGUUAAGUUGUAGACUAUUUUGGGGGAGGGGGAAGGGGGUACUAGGGACAGAUUCAGCAAAAUUCUCAGACACUUCCCUUUUAGGCUUCUACCACCUGAGUGGAUUCCAGGAUCUAGCAUUAGCCAUCUAGGUUCUCUGUGUGGGCAAAAGUAAACAUUUCCAAAGGCCAGUCUACAAAAUGUACAUACUGAGUGAGGAGCUGCGUAGAACAGCCAAUGGGGCACGCUGAGCACAGGGGCAUGUCUGUGAUUUUCUGCUUUUCAGAACCCUCUCCUGAGGAAAAGCACCUAUAACUAGGGCUCUGAGAAGAUUGCAGAUUUCUUGUAGAAAAUUCGCAGCAUGUGCACAGGUAAAGUAUAAUUUUUCAUGGAAUAUUCAUGGAACUACCUUUGAUCUUGGCCAAAUGGUUCCCGGUAGUUCCGUGAAUAUUCUGUAAAAAUGAUACUUUAUCUCUGCCUGUGCAGCAGGCACCAUAGACAGCAGAAGGCCAGGGCUAAUAGGGCUUAGCCCCCCCCCCCCCCCCAAACAUGGGGCAGUGGUGGCAGUGCAGAGGGCCACAGGGCAGCCCAGGCAUGGGAGGGACACACAGACACAGACUUGGAUCCACAGCUUGUAUGCUGCCAGGAUCACAGCCUGGCAGCAUGCAGCGCACUGCAUGCCACAGCAGGCAAGUCUGUGAAGGGGAAGGGGUGUGGGGGGAGCCAAAUUGAGGCCCCCAGUGAGGGAGGGAGUGGGGUAGGGACUAGGGUGAAUGGAGCCCCAGUGUGGGUGGUGGGAGUCAAGAGCCUGGGUGGCUCAUCCAGGGGCGGGGGGGGCUCCCGCUGCUGCACAUACACUGGGGGAGGUAUGGGGGGGAACAUGCCCCCUGGUUUUGUGUGCAGGGUGGAGGCAGGCUGCCAUUGUGGACUGGGCUGUGCCCUGCUGCUGCUGCCUUGCAAGCCAUGUGGCGCCAUGUGCCUGUUGCCUCUGGGCAGGCAGGGGACACAGCACAAUCUGGCAGUGGCAGGCACAUGGCAUCAUGUGUAGUUCCCAAGACAGCAGGGUGCAGAGCCAAGUCCAGCCCACAGUGGCAGCCCACCUCCAGCCCACGCACAAAUCCAGGGGAACACAUGCCUCCCCCGGGGUGUGCGCAGGAAUGGGAGCUUCCCUACACCCUUGAAUGAAUAACCGGGCUCUGACCAUCCCACCACUCACCCUGGGCCCCAUUCGCCCCUGCCCCACUCCCUCUCUCAGCCUGGGGGCCUCAGUCUGCCCCCCUGCCCCUUUCCUCUACACAGACUUAACCUGCUGGGGGGGGGGGGGGGGUGUACGCUCAGCCUCUAUUUUCUUCCCCCAUCCAUGGUGCACACACUGCCUCCCAACCCCACCCCACUCCACCAGUCCCCAAGCCCUGGCCCUCCAACCCCUCUUCCCCCCCCUGCCCCCUAUAUACUUCAUCCUGGCCAUGCCCACAGCAGCCAUUCGCAAGCUGGAACGCUGCCUGCCUGGAAAGGGAAACCUGCGCUUUUGCCAGUUUUUCUGGCAGUUUUGUGACCCUUAAAAAUCAUGGCAUGGGGUUAAUUUAACAGUAUCUGUGCAGUACACAAAAUCACAAUUUUCUCAGGGCCCUACCUGUAACUAGUCUUUGAAAGAGCUGGCUGGGGCUCACUCUUUUAAAACAAAGAUUGUGGUGGUGCUUGCCACUGCUGCUCUCUUAUAUAAUAGUCUAGUAGUUAGAGCUUUGCCACUACACAGAAAAGAAUAGUCUGGUGAGGGGGACAAGGGCAGAACGGGAGAGCCUCCCUCAUUACCUUAGUGUUAAGACACUCCCUUACAGCGGGCAAUCCUGGGAGCUGGGACUGGGCACCAUUUUUUUUUCUCUCCUUCCAAUUGUGUUUAAAAUAGAACAGAGGCAGUUACAUUAUUUUGAGACCCAAUCUUUUCACACGUGUUAGGUAUGCUUUGAAAAUGCCUACUAGAUAUGGCCCUUCAAAGUACUUAGGUGCUAUUCUACCUCAUAUCCGGAUUACAAUAGGGCUUAAACAGAACUGGCGUAAAGUCUAACUAAAUCCUUUUUUGGAUUUGACCCUACCCCCUACCUCCCCCAAUAUUGAAUUUAAACUGUUAAGUCAUAGAAAAAGUGCAAACUCUCUUGUUUUUUUCCAGCCUUGGGGCUGUCUGGAAGAAGAAAAGUAUUCCAAAACCACUACUGGAAAUAUACCAGGUUGUCCCUUCUGUUCCACACUUACAAAAAUUCAGCUGACAGGUGAAUAUUCAAAAGACUCCAACCACCACAACACAUGUAAAAGAAAAAAUGUGUUAAAAGAGCAACUGAAUUUCUGUGUAAGAUGCAUACCUUGUCUCCCAUGGACGGGCAGUAAAGGCAUAUGGCUUGGAGGUAAGUGCUCCUACUGGACAGAUAUCAAUGACAUUUCCCGAUAGUUCUGACA